rnacentral:rRNA from 1 species
UACGGGGGGGGGCAAGCGUUGUUCGGAAUUACUGGGCGUAAAGGGUUUGUAGGUGGCUUGUUAAGUCAGACGUGAAAUCCCUCAGCUUAACUGGGGAACUGCGUCUGAUACUGGCGAGCUUGAGUGCAGGAGAGGAACGCGGAAUUCCAGGUGUAGCGGUGAAAUGCGUAGAUAUCUGGAGGAACACCGGUGGCGAAGGCGGCGUUCUGGACUGCAACUGACACUGAGAAACGAAAGCCAGGGUAGCAAACGGG